GCGGGUAUCGUUUAGUGGUAGGACACGUCCUUGCCAAGGAUGAGAUGAGAGUUCGAUUCUCUCUACCCGCACCA
rnacentral:tRNA from 1 species